AUUGAACGCUGGCGGCAUGCUUUACACAUGCAAGUCGAACGGUAACAGGCCUUCGGGUGCUGACGAGUGGCGAACGGGUGAGUAAUGCAUCGGAACGUGCCCAGAGGUGGGGGAUAACGCAGCGAAAGCUGUGCUAAUACCGCAUGUGAUCUGAGGAUGAAAGCGGGGGACCAAGCAGCAAUGUUUGGCCUCGCGCCUCUGGAGCGGCCGAUGUCAGAUUAGGUAGUUGGUGGGGUAAAGGCCUACCAAGCCGACGAUCUGUAGCUGGUCUGAGAGGACGACCAGCCACACUGGGACUGAGACACGGCCCAGACUCCUACGGGAGGCAGCAGUGGGGAAUUUUGGACAAUGGGCGCAAGCCUGAUCCAGCUAUGCCGCGUGCGGGAAGAAGGCCUUCGGGUUGUAAACCGCUUUUGUACGGAACGAAAAGGCUCUGGCUAAUACCUGGGGCUGAUGACGGUACCGUAAGAAUAAGCACCGGCUAACUACGUG
rnacentral:rRNA from 1 species